rnacentral:rRNA from 1 species
GACGAACGCUGGCGGCGUGCUUAACACAUGCAAGUCGAACGGAAAGGCCCUGCUUUUGUGGGGUGCUCGAGUGGCGAACGGGUGAGUAACACGUGAGUAACCUGCCCUUGACUUUGGGAUAACUUCAGGAAACUGGGGCUAAUACCGGAUAGGAGCUCCUGCUGCAUGGUGGGGGUUGGAAAGUUUCGGCGGUUGGGGAUGGACUCGCGGCUUAUCAGCUUGUUGGUGGGGUAGUGGCUUACCAAGGCUUUGACGGGUAGCCGGCCUGAGAGGGUGACCGGCCACAUUGGGACUGAGAUACGGCCCAGACUCCUACGGGAGGCAGCAGUGGGGAAUAUUGCACAAUGGGCGGAAGCCUGAUUCAGCAACGCCGCGUUCGGGAUGACGGCCUUCGGGUUGUAAACCGCUUUCGCCUGUGACGAAGCGUGAGUGACGGUAAUGGGUAAAGAAGCACCGGCUAACUACGU